rnacentral:rRNA from 1 species
GAUGAACGCUGGCGGCGUGCUUAACACAUGCAAGUCGAACGAUGAAGCCCAGCUUGCUGGGUGGAUUAGUGGCGAACAGGUGAGUAACACGUGAGUAACCUGCCCUUAACUCUGGGAUAAGCCUGGGAAACUGGGUCUAAUACCGGAUAGGAGCGUCCACCGCAUGGUGGGUGUUGGAAAGAUUUAUCGGUUUUGGAUGGACUCGCGGCCUAUCAGCUUGUUGGUGAGGUAAUGGCUCACCAAGGCGACGACGGGUAGCCGGCCUGAGAGGGUGACCGGCCACACUGGGACUGAGACACGGCCCAGACUCCUACGGGAGGCAGCAGUGGGGAAUAUUGCACAAUGGGCGCAAGCCUGAUGCAGCGACGCCGCGUGAGGGAUGACGGCCUUCGGGUUGUAAACCUCUUUCAGUAGGGAAGAAGCGAAAGUGACGGUACCUGCAGAAGAAGCACCGGCUAACUACGUG